GAUGAACGCUGGCGGCGUGCCUAAUACAUGCAAGUCGAGCGAACAGACGAGGAGCUUGCUCCUCUGACGUUAGCGGCGGACGGGUGAGUAACACGUGGAUAACCUACCUAUAAGACUGGGAUAACUUCGGGAAACCGGAGCUAAUACCGGAUAAUAUAUUGAACCGCAUGGUUCAAUAGUGAAAGGCGGUUUUGCUGUCACUUAUAGAUGGAUCCGCGCCGCAUUAGCUAGUUGGUAAGGUAACGGCUUACCAAGGCAACGAUGCGUAGCCGACCUGAGAGGGUGAUAGGCCACACUGGAACUGAGACACGGUCCAGACUCCUACGGGAGGCAGCAGUAGGGAAUCUUCCGCAAUGGGCGAAAGCCUGACGGAGCAACGCCGCGUGAGUGAUGAAGGUCUUCGGAUCGUAAAACUCUGUUAUUAGGGAAGAACAAAUGUGUAAGUAACUAUGCACGUCUUGACGGUACCUAAUCAGAAAGCCACGGCUAACUACGUG
rnacentral:rRNA from 1 species